rnacentral:rRNA from 1 species
CCUACGGGAGGCAGCAGUGAGGAAUAUUGGUCAAUGGACGCAAGUCUGAACCAGCCAUGCCGCGUGCAGGAAGACGGCUCUAUGAGUUGUAAACUGCUUUUGUACGAGGGUAAACGCAGAUACGCGUAUCUGUCUGAAAGUAUCGUACGAAUAAGGAUCGGCUAACUCCGUGCCAGCAGCCGCGGUAAGACGGAGGAUUCAAGCGUUAUCCGGAUUUAUUGGGUUUAAAGGGUGCGUAGGCGGUCGGAUAAGUUAGAGGUGAAAUCCCGGGGCUCAACUUCGGAAUUGCCUCUGAUACUGUGCGGCUAGAGAGUAGUUGCGGUAGGCGGAAUGUAUGGUGUAGGGGUGAAAUGCGUAGAGAUCAUACAGAACACCGAUUGCGAAGGCAGCUUACCAAGCUACUUCUGACGUUGAGGCACGAAAGCGUGGGGAGCAAACAGGAUUAGAUACCCCAGUAGUC